rnacentral:rRNA from 1 species
GAUGAACGCUGGCGGCGUGCCUAAUACAUGCAAGUCGAGCGAACAGACGAGGAGCUUGCUCCUCUGACGUUAGCGGCGGACGGGUGAGUAACACGUGGAUAACCUACCUAUAAGACUGGGAUAACUUCGGGAAACCGGAGCUAAUACCGGAUAAUAUAUUGAACCGCAUGGUUCAAUAGUGAAAGACGGUUUUGCUGUCGCUUAUAGAUGGAUCCGCGCCGCAUUAGCUAGUUGGUAAGGUAACGGCUUACCAAGGCAACGAUGCGUAGCCGACCUGAGGGGGUGAUCGGCCACACUGGAACUGAGACACGGUCCAGACUCCUACGGGAGGCAGCAGUAGGGAAUCUUCCGCAAUGGGCGAAUGCCUGACGGAGCAACGCCGCGUGAGUGAUGAAGGUCUUCGGAUCGUAAAACUCUGUUAUUAGGGAAGAACAAAUGUGUAAGUAACUAUGCACGUCUUGACGGUACCUAAUCAGAAAGCCACGGCUAACUACGUG